CCUACGGGAGGCAGCAGUAGGGAAUAUUGCACAAUGGGGGAAACCCUGAUGCAGCAACGCCGCGUGAGUGAAGAAGGCCCUUGGGUUGUAAAGCUCUUUAGCGUGGGAAGAAGGUAGAUAUGGUGAAUAAUCAUGUUUGCUGACGGUACCACGAGAAUAAGCACCGGCUAAUUUCGUGCCAGCAGCCGCGGUAAUACGAAAGGUGCAAGCGUUACUCGGAAUCACUGGGCGUAAAGCGCACGUAGGCGGACUCGUAGGUCAAUUGUGAAAUACCUGGGCUCAACCCGGGGACUGCAGUUGAAACCGCUUGUCUUGAAUACCUGAGAGGGUGGGGGAAUACCUGGUGGAGAAGUGAAAUUCGUAGAGAUCAGGUGGAACACCGGAGGCGAAGGCGCCUGCCUGGCAGUGUAUUGACGCUGAGGUGCGAAAGUGCGGGGAGCAAACAGGAUUAGAUACCCUGGUAGUCCGCACCGUAAACGAUGGAUACUAGGCGUUCGGAGAGUUAACCCCCUGAGUGCCAAAGUUCACACAUUAAGUAUCCCGCCUGGGAAGUACGGUCGCAAGACUAAAACUCAAAGGUAUUGACGGGGGCCCGCACAAGCGGUGGAGUAUGUGGUUUAAUUCGAAGCAACGCGCAGAACCUUACCUGGCCUUGACAUCGCGAGACAGGUGCAGAGAUGCAUCCUUCCCUUCGGGGACUCGUAGACAGGUGCUGCAUGGCUGUCGUCAGCUCGUGUUGUGAAAUGUUCGGUUAAGUCCGGCAACGAGCGCAACCCCUGUUCUCAGUUACCAGCAUUAAGUUGGGGACUCUGGGAAGACCGCCGGUGUUAAACCGGAGGAGGCGGGGAUGACGUCAAGUCCUCAUGGCCCUUACGGCCAGGGCUACACACGUACUACAAUGGUAGAAAACAGACGGCUGCAGACCGCAAGGUGGAGCUAAUCCGUAAAACACUAUCCUCAGUCCCGGAUUGAAGUCUGCACUCGACUUCAUGAAGUUGGAAUCGCUAGUAUCCGCAGAUCAGCACGCCGCGGUGAUACGUUCCCGGG
rnacentral:rRNA from 1 species